CAAAAACAGUAAAUGUAACCCUAGUUGUCACAAGAGAAGAUUGUACUGAAGAAGGAGUUACAAGCUCUGUGAAGGAAAAGCUCAUUAAAUUGAUUGAUACCAUCUUUGAGCCCUCAGACCUUAACUACAUAGGCGCAGACCCCAAGGGUUACAGUUGCGGCAGUGUAACUGUUUACAUGGCAUUAAAGUUUAACUCCAUCACCAAAGAAAAAGAUGUGAUUGCAAAAAUUCGCACUGCUGUAAUGAAUGGAGCGACAGAAGGUUUUACAUUCGAUGUCUCAUCGAUAACUGGGACAAGAAUACCUCCAGAAAAAGCCACAGAAGUGCUAACCUCGCCUACCAGCACACC